rnacentral:rRNA from 1 species
CGAUCUUAGUGGCGGACGGGUGAGUAACGCGUGGGUAACCUGCCUUAUACAGGGGGAUAACACUUAGAAAUAGGUGCUAAUACCGCAUAAGCGCACGGGGCUGCAUGGCCCAGUGUGAAAAACUCCGGUGGUAUAAGAUGGACCCGCGUCUGAUUAGCUUGUUGGCGGGGUAACGGCCCACCAAGGCGACGAUCAGUAGCCGGCCUGAGAGGGUGGACGGCCACAUUGGGACUGAGACACGGCCCAAACUCCUACGGAAGGCAGCAG